rnacentral:rRNA from 1 species
UACGUAGGGUGCGAGCGUUAUCCGGAUUUACUGGGCGUAAAGCGUGCGCAGGCGGUUUUGUAAGUCAGGGGUGAAAUCCCCGGGCUUAACCUGGGAACUGCAUUUGUGACUGCAUAGCUAGAGUACGGUAGAGGGGGAUGGAAUUCCGCGUGUAGCAGUGAAAUGCGUAGAUAUGCGGAGGAACACCGAUGGCGAAGGCAAUCCCCUGGACCUGUACUGACGCUCAUGCACGAAAGCGUGGGGAGCAAACAGG